rnacentral:rRNA from 1 species
CCCUUAGAUGUCCUGGGCCGCACGCGCGUUACACUGAUGCAUUCAACGAGCUUAUAACCUUGGCCGAGAGGCCUGGGCAAUCUUGUUAACGUGCAUCGUGAUAGGGAUAGAUUAUUGAAAUUAUUAAUCUUGAACGAGGAAUUCCUAGUAAACGCAGAUCAUCAAUCUGCAUUGAUUACGUCCCUGCCCUUUGUACACACCGCCCGUCGCACCUACCGAUUGGAUGGUCCGGUGAAGCCUCGGGAUUGUGGUUCUUGCUGCUUUAUUGUGGCGUGACCGCGAGAACUUGUCUAAACCUUAUCAUCUAGAGGAAGGUGAAGUCGUAACA